rnacentral:rRNA from 1 species
GGAGGGUGCGAGCGUUGUUCGGAAUUAUUGGGCGUAAAGCGCGUGUAGGCGGUCUUUUAAGUCUGAUGUGAAAGCCCUGGGCUCAACCUGGGAAGUGCAUUGGAAACUGGAAGACUUGAAUACGGGAGAGGGUAGUGGAAUUCCUAGUGUAGGAGUGAAAUCCGUAGAUAUUAGGAGGAACACCGGUGGCGAAGGCGGCUACCUGGACCGAUAUUGACGCUGAGACGCGAAAGCGUGGGGAGCAAACAGGAUUAGAUACCCUGGUAGUCCACGCCGUAAACGAUGAGUACUAGGUGUUGCGGGUAUUGACCCCUGCAGUGCCGCAGCUAACGCAUUAAGUACUCCGCCUGGGAAGUACGGUCGCAAGACUA